CUGCGAAUGGCUCAUUAAAUCAGUUAUCGUUUAUUUGAUAGUACCUUACUACUUGGAUAACCGUGGUAAUUCUAGAGCUAAUACAUGCUAAAAACCCCGACUUCGGGAGGGGUGUAUUUAUUAGAUAAAAAACCAAUGCCCUUCGGGGCUCCUUGGUGAAUCAUAAUAACUUAACGGAUCGCAUGGCCUUGCGCCGGCGACGGUUCAUUCAAAUUUCUGCCCUAUCAACUUUCGAUUGUAGGGUAUUGGCCUACAAUGGUAUCAACGGGUAACGGGGAAUUAGGGUUCGAUUCCGGAGAGGGAGCCUGAGAAACGGCUACCACAUCCAAGGAAGGCAGCAGGCGCGCAAAUUACCCAAUCCCGACACGGGGAGGUAGUGACAAUAAAUACUGAUACAGGGCUCUUUUGGGUCUUGUAAUUGGAAUGAGUACAAUUUAAAUCCCUUAACGAGGAACAAUUGGAGGGCAAGUCUGGUGCCAGCAGCCGCGGUAAUUCCAGCUCCAAUAGCGUAUAUUAAAGUUGUUGCAGUUAAAAAGCUCGUAGUUGAACCUUGGGCCUGGCUGGCCGGUCCGCCUCACCGCGUGCACUGGUCCGGCCGGGCCUUUCCUUCUGGAGAGCCGCAUGCCCUUCACUGGGUGUGUCGGGGAACCAGGACUUUUACUUUGAAAAAAUUAGAGUGUUCAAAGCAGGCCUUUGCUCGAAUACAUUAGCAUGGAAUAAUAGAAUAGGACGUGCGGUUCUAUUUUGUUGGUUUCUAGGACCGCCGUAAUGAUUAAUAGGGAUAGUCGGGGGCAUCAGUAUUCAAUUGUCAGAGGUGAAAUUCUUGGAUUUAUUGAAGACUAACUACUGCGAAAGCAUUUGCCAAGGAUGUUUUCAUUAAUCAGUGAACGAAAGUUAGGGGAUCGAAGACGAUCAGAUACCGUCGUAG
rnacentral:rRNA from 1 species